GUCUAUGGCCAUACCACCCUGAACACGCCCGAUCUCAUCUGAUCUCGGAAGCUAAGUAGGGUCUGGCCUGGUUAGUACUUGGAUGGGAGACCGCCCGGGAAUACCGGGUGCUGUAGGCU
rnacentral:rRNA from 1 species